rnacentral:rRNA from 1 species
GAUGAACGCUGGCGGCGUGCCUAAUACAUGCCAGUCGAGCGAACAGACGAGAAGCUUGCUUCUCUGAUGUUAGCGGCGGACGGGUGAGUAACACGUGGAUAACCUACCUAUAAGACUGGGAUAACUUCGGGAAACCGGAGCUAAUACCGGAUAAUAUUUUGAACCGCAUGGUUCAAAAGUGAAAGACGGUCUUGCUGUCACUUAUAGAUGGAUCCGCGCUGCAUUAGCUAGUUGGUAAGGUAACGGCUUACCAAGGCAACGAUGCAUAGCCGACCUGAGAGGGUGAUCGGCCACACUGGAACUGAGACACGGUCCAGACUCCUACGGGAGGCAGCAGUAGGGAAUCUUCCGCAAUGGGCGAAAGCCUGACGGAGCAACGCCGCGUGAGUGAUGAAGGUAUUCGGAUCGUAAAACUCUGUUAUUAGGGAAGAACAUAUGUGUAAGUAACUGUGCACAUCUUGACGGUACCUAAUCAGAAAGCCACGGCUAACUACGUG